UGGAGCAGAAGUCUCGGAAAAAAUUCAAAAAUAACAAUCAAAUCAAAAAUAUUUGGCUACUUCCUAGGAUUAGACAAAAAAAAAUUUUAAGUUGCGAAAGCCAUUAGUGUUCAAACAGCUGCACGGGCUUCCCAAAUGAAAAGCACAAAUCAAAGGACAUCUCAACAUAACAAAUGCCAAACAAGAUGCAGUAUUAGACAAAUGGAUACUGAGUUAAGAAAAGGAAACUAAGAACACUUACAAAUGCCAUUUAAGCUCUCGUAGUACGCCAAACUUCUUGCUUAAAACACUUGCCCCACAAAUUAGAAUUUGUCCGGCGGACGGUACCUGGUCCUCCACACCUGAAUUUUUAUUAUUACAAAGAGGAACUGCGGAUCGCGUUUGGCCAGGACUUGCUUAUUUAUCGUUUUGUUUGCCACAUUUUUUGCCGUUGCUGAGAAGGUCAAUGCCAACUGGCUUAAAGGAAACUCAAAUAGUUUAAGCACAUUUGAAUGAUUUCCUUUAGUUUGCAUUCCCCUGAAAUAUACGACACGAUUGCAAUAUUAA